AUUCCACUAUAAAUCAACGUGGACAUUUACUGCUAAGCUUUUAGAUAACACACUAAGAGCCUUGUUUAUAUAGCUUUGUAGGCAUGGUUUUGGUCUCAUGAGUAAAAGAUAAUGACAUAGGCAGUGACAUCACGAGGGCUGGACUUCGGAUUUGAUAAAAUAACAUUGGACCUUUUCUUUGACGCAGAACUUACUCGGAAACAUUCGUGCUAUGUUCCUGAUUGUCAACUUCUGUCUGCAAUUGCAUUAACAAAGGUUUCUGAAUGAUUUAAUUAAAGAUAUUGUCAUAAUACUAAUUUCACCAAUGAGCCAAUGAUUGACAAGGAACAAGGAGGAACGAACCCCAACAUUUGGCAAGCUUGCCAGGAGUGAGUGUCACCCCGGUUGGCGGAGAUUCCACACCACCAUGUUGCCAGAGCUCAAAAUUAAAUAAGGUAACCAUGAUAACACCAAUAGCCCUGCGGGUAUAGGAAAGGUCCGGCUAGCAUCAUCUCUCCCACCGCAAGCAUCUCCCAGAGUGGAAGCCAUGGAUGAGCGACUGGAGGGAGAGCAGGGCCCCGAGAACAUCUGGAGGAUGAAGAAGGUCCGAGCCAAAGGACAGGAGCAGAAGGCUGAGACCAAAGGUCAGAAGAACCAACAGAGGGUUCAGCCACAGAACCUGAAGAGUCAUCAGAUAUCGAGGAAACCAUCAUACACACACUCUACGGUUGUGAAAGAAAAUCGCAACCAUGGAAAAACACAUGCUGGGCAUUUAUUGCUCUCCAAAUCCUACUCGUUCCCUUUGUGGACGGGGAUGUGGAGAAUAAUAAAUGUGUGAAAACAGUGACAUACAUAGGAUUACAGGGGAGGGGGAACACAUCUGGCACACGGGUAAUGGUUUUCCAGAAACCCACCUCCACAGCAUUUCUGUGGGAAACCCAGGUAGCACCAAUUGGAAAGAAUGAUUUUGGAUGUUAAUUACUCAAUUUUAUGCAAAGGAACAAUACCAGGGUUCGACAAAGAAACAGCAAUUAUACUAUUCUGAUGUUGGUCACUAGGGGGAAGGAAGUAACAUGGGAAGGUGGAUUAUCCAAUAAGACAAUAGGUAAGAGUUCAGAUGCAGCUAAAGUAUUUAAGGAGCGUGGGCACAUUGAAACUAAUUGGCCAAGGUAGGAGAAGGUUCCUAGUGUAGAACCAGGUAACAAUUCCCAGCUGAUUAAAUGCAUAGGACCUCCAAAAGUACAAUGGGGAGAGUAUUUGACUGGUAGUGUAAAGCCCCUAAAUGAUAAAGGAGAUGUUGUGUUGACAGGAUUAAAACCCAUAAUAACUCCCCCUGUUUGUAUCUGCAACUCAGGGAAUGUGGAUGUAGGAAACGACACUAAAUUGCCUGUCUUACACAGGCCUAAAAACAGAUACCAGUAGUUGUGAUGUAUUGGAUGGGCAACAAUUGAUAACUAGGGUAAAUAUAUCAAACAUGGAAGAUGAAUGUGCAAGUAGAGAUACUGGGGUGCAAAGGAGCAAGAUAAAUAAAUACAGUAUGGGGAUGAGGUAGUUGGAUGGGCUAUUGGGAGAUGGGCUAUAGUAAUAAAGUACUAAUGAACUACAAGUAAUAAAUACCUUUAAAUACAAACUUUGAUCAAUUAAUUUGAAUAGAUUUUGUAUUCACUUAUAAUCAUUGUCUUUUUAGGGAAUAUGCAACAACCAAAACAUUACAUGCAAUGAGGCAGUCUGUAAUGUGAAAUGCAAAUAGCCAAGGUCAUCAACAAAACAUUAAGUAUAUGAGAGAGGUUUUGAUAAUUUCCCCCCCUAAUCUAGCUCUCUCUGUUACUGUUUCUUUCUCUCUCUUACCAUUAUGAGGUAGGUGCUGAGGGUUUCUGCAAGUACCAUUCGAACAUACUCAUUCUUUAUCACCCAGAUCAUUGACAGCUUUCUACUUCUUCCAUGCGCUUGUACACUCCCCUGCUUCAUCUCAAGCAUUGAGUCUUUCAUGUUUUUCUGACUGUCUUGUAUUUCUGCUGCUUGUCUUUCUCUUAUUUCCACAGAGUCACACUCAAGUUCACAGUCCUGGUUGUCAAGUAAUCCGGAAGAAUUUGGGCAACGACAUUGCCAUUGCCUGUUUUUCUAUUGUCUCUUUUUGGUCCAUUUAGAUUGUACACAAAAAAAUGUACAAAAUGUUAUGGUUAAAAAUGUUCAUGUUUUACUGUGGCUUGUAGGCUCCUAAGUGGACCAUAAGGUUAAAAACCAAACCCCCCCCCAAAAAACUGUCACAACGUUGACAGAAGGUGGCGCCUCUCCUCGUUCGGGCGGCGCUCGGCGGUCGUCGUCGCCGGCCUACUAGCUGCCACCGAUCCACUUUUCAUUUUAUUUUGGUGAUGUCUGUUAUAUGUGUGCACCUGUAUUGAGUUAGGUCGUUAGUGGGGGGGUUAUUUAGUCUGUCUGUUUAGGUUUGGGGAUUGUGCGGGAUUGUUUUUUGUCUGCGUUGUUUAGGUUGGGGUUUAGGUUUUCCUCUGCCAUUUGUUUAUUAAUGUAUAUGAGUUUUCCUGGGCUGCACCCCUACUCUGUUUACAGGCUCUUAACCUUUUGAUGUAUUUCGCCCUGCCUUGCAUUUUUUUUGGCAGUUUUGGACUGAUACCUAUUAAAACGUGUUUUCACGGA